rnacentral:tRNA from 1 species
AUUAAAUUGGCAGAUUAGUGCAUAGGAUUUAGAUUCUUAACAAAAAAUAAAUUUUAUUUAAUA